UACGUAGGGUGCAAGCGUUGUCCGGAAUUAUUGGGCGUAAAGAGCUCGUAGGCGGUUUGUCGCGUCGAAUGUGAAAACCCGAGGCUUAACCUCGGGCCUGCAUUCGAUACGGGCUGACUAGAGUUCGGUAGGGGAGACUGGAAUUCCUGGUGUAGCGGUGAAAUGCGCAGAUAUCAGGAGGAACACCGGUGGCGAAGGCGGGUCUCUGGGCCGAUACUGACGCUGAGGAGCGAAAGCGUGGGGAGCGAACAGG
rnacentral:rRNA from 1 species